CUAAAAACGAAUGUCGACAAAUGUUGCAACUUUUGGCGGUUGAGGACAAUAUUUGUGAACGAGAUCACAACAUACUUGGAGUCUAUGCGAUACCCUGUGAACAUGGACAACCGUCUGUGGUUCCCAACAGUAACCGACAUAAGAAAUAUCGUAACGGUAAAAGGUCUAGAAAAAGAUAGACUCGAGGCCAUUAUCGAAGAACUACGUCAUGAAGGAAACUCGGUCCACUACGUCGAUGAGCCGGACAAGGAAAAUCCUCGGAACUCGAAGAUGCUUUUGGUCUACCAGAACCAGACGCAAAAGGAUAUACUUAAACAGUUUGGUACCGUCUUGUUUAUGGACAGCACGCACAAGACAAAUCAUUACAACUUGCCACUGUUUUUGCUCGCCUGUAGAACACCCCAAGGAUACCAGGUUGUCGCUUUUUUCAUAACGUGUUCUGAACACCCGAACGGUGAGGAGAUCAUAGCAGAAGCCCUGUCGGUCAUAAAGGGGUGGAAUCCGGGAAUGUCCCCUACAUACUGUAUGACCG